rnacentral:rRNA from 1 species
UAGAGGAAGCUUGCUUCCUUGAGACCGGCGCACGGGUGCGUAACGCGUAUGCAAUCUACCUUGUACAGAGGGAUAGCCCAGAGAAAUUUGGAUUAAUACCUCAUAGUGUUAUCGAAUCGCAUGGUUUGAUAACUAAAGUUCCAACGGUACAAGAUGAGCAUGCGUCCCAUUAGCUAGUUGGUGUGGUAACGGCAUACCAAGGCAAUGAUGGGUAGGGGUCCUGAGAGGGAGAUCCCCCACACUGGUACUGAGACACGGACCAGACUCCUACGGGAGGCAGCAGUGAGGAAUAUUGGACAAUGGGCGCAAGCCUGAUCCAGCCAUGCCGCGUGCAGGAUGACGGUCCUAUGGAUUGUAAACUGCUUUUAUACAGGAAGAAACCCUACCACGUGUGGUAGAUUGACGGUACUGUAGGAAUAAGGAUCGGCUAACUCCGUGCCAGCAGCCGCGGUAAUACGGAGGAUCCAAGCGUUAUCCGGAAUCAUUGGGUUUAAAGGGUCCGUAGGCGGUUUAAUAAGUCAGUGGUGAAAGCCCAUCGCUUAACGAUGGAACGGCCAUUGAUACUGUUAG